UGAACUAGCGCCCAAACUGCUGAACUAGCGCCCUGACCGCUGAACUAGCUCCCUGACUGCUGAACUAGCUCCCUGACUGCUGAACUAG